rnacentral:rRNA from 1 species
GAUGAACGCUGGCGGCGUGCUUAACACAUGCAAGUCGAACGGUGAACGAGGGAGCUUGCUCCCUCCGGAUCAGUGGCGAACGGGUGAGUAACACGUGAGCAAUCUGCCCUGGACUCUGGGAUAAGCGUUGGAAACGACGUCUAAUACCGGAUACGAGGCGUGGGGGCAUCCCCAACGCCUGGAAAGAACUUCGGUCCAGGAUGAGCUCGCGGCCUAUCAGCUAGUUGGUGAGGUAACGGCGCACCAAGGCGACGACGGGUAGCCGGCCUGAGAGGGUGACCGGCCACACUGGGACUGAGACACGGCCCAGACGCCUACGGGAGGCAGCAGUGGGGAAUAUUGCACAAUGGGCGCAAGCCUGAUGCAGCAACGCCGCGUGAGGGACGACGGCCUUCGGGUUGUAAACCUCUUUUAGCAGGGAAGAAGCGAAAGUGACGGUACCUGCAGAAAAAGCACCGGCUAACUACGUGCCAGCCGCCGCCGUAACAC